ensembl:lncRNA
UAGCUGUUAUAACACGUUACACCCUCCUUCACACAUACUCAAGGUCAACACACACAGACACUGGAACAUCCUGUUCUCUACAUAACAGCGAGCGGCCUAACCACAAAGCGCCAUUGAGGGGUUGCUGAGUCUGAUACACUAUCUCGUGACAAACACCAGCUGCAGAGGCACCCCAACCCUGAGAAAGAGGAACACACACGCACACACCUAAUCUCCUUUUUAGCUGAACAUUGUGUGACCAAGGACAGGUACGACGAGACUCUAUGAUGACGGAUGGUCCAACUGAGCCAAUACAAGAAGACUACACUCCAGCCUGAACCAAUCCGAAGACCCGAUCUUCUAGAAUCAACCUACUUUCUGUUCUGUAUAUAAUACAUGUGCACACUGUUAGCGGGGCUUUUUUCUGGAGGUUCCUUAUGAGCUGAAUGAACGGGCCCGUAUACGCUGUACCAGAUAUCUUCACUCUGAAUAAACUGUCGCUUAUCAUACAAUCUACCGCUUUGUCCGAAUCGAUCCUUGACCGGCUCACUCACCUGCACAUCCCAGUUAUCAACAGGAUAUAAUUUUGUACCUGUCUCCUCCAGCAUCUUCACAAGGUCCAUUGCUGCUGUUCUAUGAUUGAUUUUGCACUUUUCCCACCAAAGAACGUUAAUCUCUAGGAGACAGAAUGCAUCUCCUUCCUGAGUGGUAUGACGGCUGCGUGGUCCCAUGGUGUUUAUACUUGCGUACUAUUGUUUGUACAGAUGAACGUGGUACCUUCAGGCGUUUGGAAAUCGCUCCCAAGGAUGAAUCAGACUUGUGGAGGUCUACAAUUUCUUUUCUGAGGUCUUGGCUGAUUUCUUUUGAUUUUCCCAUGAUGUCAAGCAAAGAUGCACUGAGUUUGAAGAACCUGAGCCCUAGGACCAUGCCUCAGGACUACCUGGCAUGAUGACUCCUUGCUGUCCCCAGUCCACCUGGCCGUGCUGCUGCUCCAGUUUCAACUGUUCUGCCUGCUGCUAUGGAACCCAGACCUGUUCACCGGACGUGCUACCUGUACCAGACCUGCUGUUUUCAACUCUCUAGAGACAGCAGGAGCAGUAGAAAUACUCUGAAUGAUCGGCAAUGAAAAGCCAACUGACAUCUACUCCUGAGGUGCUGACUUGCUGCACCCUCGACAACUACUGUGAUUAUUAUUUGACCAUGCUGGUCAGUUAUGAACAUUUGAACAUCUUGGCCAUGUUCUGUUAUAAUCUCCACCCGGCACAGCCAGAAGAGGACUGGGCCACCCCUCAUAGCCUGGUUCGUCUCUAGGUUUCUUCCUAGGUUUUGGCCUUUCUAGGGAGUUUUUCCUAGCCACCGUGCUUCUACAGCUGCAUUGCUUGCUGUUUGGGGUUUUAGGCCGGGUUUCUGUACAACACUUUGAGAUAUCAGCUGAUGUAAUAAGGGCUAUAUAAAUCAAUUUGAUUUGAUGAAGCCUGUGCUGGUUGAAAAAUACGUUGUGGGGCGCCGUCCUCAAACAAUCGCAUGGUAUGCUUUCGCUGUAAAGCUUAUUGUAAAUCUGACAAUGCAGUUAGAUUAACAAUAAUUUAAGCUUUUAACCAAUAUAAGAUACGUGUAUGUUCAUAAAUGUUUAAUAUUCCGAUUAUUUAUUUGAAUUGCGCCCUUCAAUUUCACCAGAUGUUGUCGGCAGGUGUCUCACUAGCGGGACGUCUAGCCUUAAGAAGAUUUAUAUUGUAUGUUGUCAAACAAACAUGGCGCCACACAUAGGUCGUAUUUAGCUUAGCAUUAGCUCAGCAUAACCAGUACAACCUUCCAAAAAGUAUUUUACACAUCAUAUGUGUCCAUUACAAUCUAUGCAAGAAUUGGAAUGCAUGAUUUGUCACCAAAACUUGAAAACAUGUGAAUAAAACAGUAUACAUUAUGUUCCAUACGCAUGAAGUGCUCCAGUGGAAACGACAACACGAUAUACAGAAACUAUAGUGAGGCACUUUGAUAGGAACACACACAUGUCCAAAGUUAUUAUUAGUAAGAAGAAAAAAGAAAGGAAAUGUGGUUUUUGUUUGUGCAGGUUCUGUUCUGACUGGAGAUGCGCAAAGGUCUGCAUACUUCAUCUGGGGAAACACUGGGGAAGUGCUUGGGCUCUCGAAGAUAUUUUUCUUAACCUCAACUUCAACAUACUCUCCUGCAAUCUGCCUCACCAAUUGUGGUACGGAUCUGCUAUUUUCUUUACUUCAGAAUCGGAACCCCCAACAGAAGCUAGCCAGCUAGUUAGCUACUAGAUAGUAGUCAGCUAACCACUGCUAGCAGCCAUCGGCUAACCUUUAGCCCGGACAACUCUUGCCAGUCUGCACUGCGCAAUUCAAACCAGAGCAUAUCAGACUUAUUUUUCUCCAUUUCUCCAGAUUCUUACCGUAAGCUCUGAACCUUUUCACCUGCAUCAUCACAGCUAGCUAGCUGCUAUCUGAGUGACCACUCCUGGCUAACGUCUCUGUCCCAACGCAAGCACCAAUUAGCCUGGAGGUAGCCUAUGCUAGGUAGCCUCAGCCACUCCUUGGGCUACAAUACCUAUUUUGCCAAUUGGCCUAGACCCCUUUUACUGCCAAUACGGAGCCCCGCCGAGCCAUCAUGACUAGAGUACCAACAUAAUCUGCCCGAGGUUGGUUUUUCAAUAGGCUCCCCUGUCGCAACGUGCCCUGAAUAGCCCGCCUGCUAUCCGCUGCCCGCUAGCUGUCUAGAGCAUAUUUGACUGUUCGCUAAAGAGGCCCGUCUGACAAUUUCUUGGGCCACUAUACCUAUUUUGCCAAUUGGCCUGGAGCCUUUUACUACACGGAGCCCUGCUGAUCCAUCACGACUGGUCUGCCGGCG